UACGAAGGGUGCAAACGUUGCUCGGAAUUAUUGGGCGUAAAGCGCACGUAGGCGGCUUAGCAAGUCGAAUGUGAAAUCCCUCGGCUCAACCAAGGAAGUGCAUCCGAAACUGCUGAGCUUGAGUACUUAAGAGGAUCGCGGAAUUCCCGGUGUAGAGGUGAAAUUCGUAGAUAUUCGGAAGAACACCAGUGGCGAAGGCGACUCACUGGACACGUAUUUGACGCUGAGGUGCGAAAACGUGGGGGACAAACAGGG
rnacentral:rRNA from 1 species